rnacentral:lncRNA from 1 species
UUCUCUUUUACAGCACCUUCCCCAGCCAUGUGGAAAAGAGCUGCUGCAGCCCUGAGUGCAUCCCGUUCCUCCUGCUCUGAGCUCUGCAAGGACAGCUCCUCCCAUGGUGCAAACCACUGUGAG